ensembl:snRNA U6 U6 spliceosomal RNA
GUACUUGCUUCAGCAGCACAUAUACUAAAAUUAGAAUGAUACAGAGAUUAACAUGGCCUCUGCACAAGAAUAACACGCAAAUUCAUGAAGUGUUCCAUAUUUUU